CUGGCCCUGAAUCAAGGCCGGGAUUUUUCUGAAGCUGUUGGUUUCAAGCAGGAGCCUAAAGAGAUGUCUUUCUAUGGUCUGUUGGCCAUUUCAGAACUUGGCAAAGGGAAUGGUCAAUUCAUUAGAAAGAAACAGUA
ensembl:snoRNA